CCUACGGGGGGCAGCAGUGAGGAAUAUUGGUCAAUGGACGAGAGUCUGAACCAGCCAAGUAGCGUGAAGGAUGACUGCCCUAUGGGUUGUAAACUUCUUUUAUAUGGGAAUAAAAUGUUCCACGUGUGGGAUUUUGUAUGUACCAUAUGAAUAAGGAUCGGCUAACUCCGUGCCAGCAGCCGCGGUAAUACGGAGGAUCCGAGCGUUAUGCGGAUUUAUUGGGUUUAAAGGGAGCGUAGGUGGAUUGUUAAGUCAGUUGUGAAAGUUUGCGGCUCAACCGUAAAAUUGCAGUUGAAACUGGCAGUCUUGAGUACAGUAGAGGUGGGCGGAAUUCGUGGUGUAGCGGUGAAAUGCUUAGAUAUCACGAAGAACUCCGAUUGCGAAGGCAGUUCACUGGACUGCAACUGACACUGAGGCUCGAAAGUGUGGGUAUCAAACAGGAUUAGAUACCCUAGUAGUC
rnacentral:rRNA from 1 species